AUGCCAACGCGCGAGUUGAAGUCCGGUCACUGACCGCGAGCGAGCCCUGGCGGCGAUCGACCGAGAAAGAGGGAUUGGAAGAGAGCGAGCAUGCGAGAUCGAGAAAUGGGGAGCGAGCGAGGUCACCCCAGAUCAGCUGCACUCCACGCCUAGCCUCCAGAUCAAAUCUCCUCCCUAACCUCUUUUUUAACUUGAUCGAAUGACCUCGAG
rnacentral:lncRNA from 1 species